rnacentral:SRP_RNA from 1 species
GGGUCGGGCCGGCGCAGCCCGUCGCUCGGACAACGGGUCAGGCCGGGAACGGAGCAGCCCACCCGAUGCGGCCCGCGUGCGUCGUUCACCCGGCCCGAG